CAGAAAGCUGUCUCCUGUAAGAACUAGAAGUUGAGCCAAGGUAUAGCUAACCUACAAUAGCAGAUGGUGAAAACCAGGGCAGGAGGAGGACUCCUGAAGCGUCCGAAGGAAGGAAAUCAUUAUAGGGCCCUACAGAAGUAGGUCAGGUGCUACAGCUGCUCAUAGUUUAAGAGGAAGAAACAUCGGACCUCAAACCUGGAAUACAACUCUUUCAAAAUGUUUGUGAGCAGCCCAAGAAAAACAUCCUCUGAGCCUUAUCUAAUAAGCGUGAUCUCUAAUCGUCUCAGUGUGUGCUCUGGUUCCCUUAGCACUUUGCACCUACUUGCCUGAGCUCAGAAAGACCAGCAGAACACAGAAAGAACUAAUGAAGGGGAUUUAAUAGUUUGUGUUAAAGUUAAUAUGGUCCAUUAGGAGCUGUCAUUUUUAUAAACAAUGAAGAUAUGUGACCCCCUUUCUUUGGUGUAAAGUCACUCCAUGCAGGACCUGUAAACACAGUCAUGAUGGGUGGACUACGCAUGAGCGACACAAUUAAAGCAGUGCUUGGAAAGUUGAGUUCCUCUCACAUAUUUGGUUUCUUGCUAAAUAAACUUGGAAAGAUCA